GAAAGUCGAGCUCGAGACGAUCAGACCGUCCUAGUUCUGACCAUAAACGAUGCCAACUGACGAUCCGUGGUGGUAGUGAUGUUGCCUUCCCCACGGGCAGUCGCCGGGAAACCGUUAAGUGUUUGGGU
rnacentral:rRNA from 1 species